rnacentral:snoRNA from 1 species
GAGCCCCAUCUAAAAGGAGUCCGCUCUGGGCAACGUAUCCAUUCCAUUCCCAGCUUGCUCAGUACCUGGUGAUUGGAAGACAUUUUGCAAUGAUG